rnacentral:rRNA from 1 species
GACGAACGCUGGCGGCGUGCUUAACACAUGCAAGUCGAACGGAAAGGCCCUGCUUUUGUGGGGUGCUCGAGUGGCGAACGGGUGAGUAACACGUGAGUAACCUGCCCUUGACUUUGGGAUAACUUCAGGAAACUGGGGCUAAUACCGGAUAGGAGCUCCUGCUGCAUGGUGGGGGUUGGAAAGUUUCGGCGGUUGGGGAUGGACUCGCGGCUUAUGGGCUUGUUGGUGGGGUAGUGGCUUACCAAGGCUUUGACGGGUAGCCGGCCUGAGAGGGUGACCGGCGACACAGGAACUGAGACACGGUCACGAGUCCUACGGUAGGCAGCAGUAGGGAAUCUGCCGCAGUGGGCGAAAGCCGGACGGAGCAACGCCGCGUGAGUGAUGAGGGUCUGCGGAUCGUAAAACUCUGUUAUUAGGGAAGAACAAAUGUGUAAGUAACUAUGCACGUAUUGACGGUACCUAAUCAGAAAGCCACGGCUAACUACGUG